GGGUUCUAGAGUGUAGGCUUUGCCUGCUAUCUCUUACCCAUGUCUUUUGAGUACCUUACGUUUCCUCGGCGGGUCCGCCCGCCGAUUGGACAAUUUAAACCAUUUGCAGUUGCAAUCAGCGUCUGAAAAAACUUAAUAGUUACAACUUUCAACAACGGAUCUCUUGGUUCUGGCAUCGAUGAAGAACGCAGCGAAAUGCGAUAAGUAGUGUGAAUUGCAGAAUUCAGUGAAUCAUCGAAUCUUUGAACGCACAUUGCGCCCCUUGGUAUUCCAUGGGGCAUGCCUGUUCGAGCGUCAUUUGUACCUUCAAGCUCUGCUUGGUGUUGGGUGUUUGUCUCGCCUCUGCGUGUAGACUCGCCUCAAAACAAUUGGCAGCCGGCGUAUUGAUUUCGGAGCGCAGUACAUCUCGCGCUUUGCACUCAUAACGACGACGUCCAAAAGUACAUUUUUACACUCUUGACCUCGGAUCAGGUAGGGAUACCCGCUGAACUUAAGCAUAUCAAUAAGCGGAGGAA
rnacentral:rRNA from 1 species